GAAUAUUGGACAAUGGGGGGAACCCUGAUCCAGCCAUGCCGCGUGUGUGAAGAAGGCCUUUUGGUUGUAAAGCACUUAAGGGAGGGGGGGGAGACCCUUGGUUAAACCCCAGAUGGCUUGGACGUUCUCGCCGAAUUAGGACCGGCCAACCUCUUUCCAGCAGCCCGCGGUAAUACAGAGGGUGCAAGCGUUAAUCGGAUUUACUGGGCGUAAAGCGCGCGUAGGUGGCCAAUUAAGUCAAAUGUGAAAUCCCCGAGCUUAACUUGGGAAUUGCAUUCGAUACUGGUUGGCUAGAGUAUGGGAGAGGAUGGUAGAAUUCCAGGUGUAGCGGUGAAAUGCGUAGAGAUCUGGAGGAAUACCGAUGGCGAAGGCAGCCAUCUGGCCUAAUACUGACACUGAGGUGCGAAAGCAUGGGGAGCAAACA
rnacentral:rRNA from 1 species